ensembl:lncRNA
GUAAGAGUGGCCGGGGUGGGGUGGAGCCGUGUCCUCUAGGCCUGGCCUGGUUGGCUGCUUUGGGGUAAUUCCCAGGCUCUGGGGUGUCAUGAGCCUGGGAGGGAGGCAUGAGUCACUCCUCCCCUCCCACUGCCCUAGAGAAACUUCUUCCCUGUCCCCGGGGCCAGGUUUCGCCAGAAGCCAUAAAGAGGCCUGCGCAAGCCUCUUCCGUUUUCAGAGCCUCCCAGAGUCUCAGAGGGAGAUGCUGUCGUCCUGCUUGCCUGGAUGAGAAAAUUGGAAAUACCAGCUGGGGACCCAGCCCUCCCAGACAGCGCUGGGCCUUCCCUGCUGAAAUCUCCAUCACUGCUAGAGCCAUCAAGAGGUGGCCAGCGCACAGCGGUGGACGUGAACACCCGUUUGCUGAAAGCAUCUAAGAGAUCCUGCUUCCGGGACAAUCCAGUGAGAUGGUUCACAAGUGACUCAGUGACACAAUCGUUAUACUCACAGGGAAUUAGGACGCCCCUUUGCAGAUUAUUUACUGAAGCUUAAACAAAUUUUUAACUUAAUGACAUUGUCUGUGGUUAAAAAACAACAGGAUCUUAACUUGUGUCCGUGGGCAGAGAAGUUAAUGAACUCCUGCAAAAACAAGUCAUUUAGAACCAACUUUCAGCUAGACUAAUUUUUCAGCUGAGAGUGAAACUGCUUCUUUUUUCCUUCAAAAAAGCCAUUUAGUUUUAUACUGAUCAAAACGUUAUGUCUGGUAGGGGAAGAAUAAACCUUUUUUUUUUUUUUCUUGGCUGAGCUGCACAGCAUGUGGGAUCUUAGUUCCCUCACCAGGGAUCGAAACUGCAC